ACAAAUUUAGGUAAGGGGGUUUAAUUGAUUUUUUUUUCCAUCUUCAUCCGGACGGACCUAAUCCACCGCUCAAAUUUCGUGUACUAGUCAUCCUACCGAUAAACUGUAAAUUAGGGUUUCAAUAUUUCACUGGCGAUCGAAGGGUUAUUAAAAUGGGUUUUGAAAGAGGGGAUAUAGUGGAAAUUUUGAAUAAGGAAGAGGGUUUAAAGGGUUCAUACUACCCUGCAAACAUAAUCUCUAGGGUCUCCAACAAAGAUUACAUUGUCCAGUACAGAACCCUUUUAGAAGAGGAUGGUUCAGGGCCCUUGCGAGAGUUUAUGUCCACUGAUAGAAUCCGCCCAACGCCUCGUGAGAUUGUGGCCGAUGCCUUUCGUUUGUCGGAGGUCGUUGACGCCUAUGAUCGCGAUGGCUGGUGGGUCGGGAAGGUUAUUGGGAAAACCGGGUCGAAAUACGUGGUGCAUUUUAAGGGUACUGGUGAAAAGAUUGCUUACCCUUUGGACCGGUUGAGAGUUCAUCAGGAAUGGGACUGGAAGAAUGGUGUUUGGUACUUUGGUUAAUUUCCGAAAAAUAAGGGUCAAGGAUUCUAAUGGAGGGAACAUCUGUUGACCAAGAGUAGGUAAGAUAAGUCGCUCUAAUAUUUUUGAUGACCUUAGUCAUUUUAGUCAAUGAAUUGCUAUUGUAAUGCUUUGGAAAAAUGAUCACUAUUUUCCUAAAAGAAGUGGCCAAUUUUAAAUCGUGUUCACGAGGGCCUGUCUUAUGAACUUUUAUA